UACGUAGGGGGCUAGCGUUGCUCGGAAUCACUGGGCGUAAAGCGCACGUAGGCGGAUUGUUAAGUCAGGGGUGAAAUCCUGGAGCUCAACUCCAGAACUGCCUUUGAUACUGAAGAUCUUGAGUUCGGGAGAGGUGAGUGGAACUGCGAGUGUAGAGGUGAAAUUCGUAGAUAUUCGCAAGAACACCAGUGGCGAAGGCGGCUCUCUGGCCCGAUACUGACGCUGAGGUGCGAAAGCGUGGGGAGCAAACAGG
rnacentral:rRNA from 1 species